ACGUGGGCGUAAAAGCGUGCGUAGGCGGCUUUUUUAAGCGGAUGUGAAAUCCCCGAGCUUAACUUGGGAAUUGCAUUCGAUACUGGGAAGCUAGAGUAUGGGAGAGGAUGGUAGAAUUCCAGGUGUAGCGGUGAAAUGCGUAGAGAUCUGGAGGAAUACCGAUGGCGAAGGCAGCCAUCUGGCCUAAUACUGACGCUGAGGUACGAAAGCAUGGGGAGCAAACAGGAUUAGAUACCCUGGUAGUCCACACCGUAAACGACUGAAUGCCAGUCGUCGGGUAGCAUGCUAUUCGGUGACACACCUAACGGAUUAAGCAUUCCGCCGUGGGGAGUACGGUCGCAAGAAUUAAACUCAAAGGAAUUGACGGGGGCCCGCACAAGCGGUGGAGCAUGUGGUUUAAUUCGAAGCAACGCGCAGAACCUUACCAACCCUUGACAUCCUAGGACAACCUGAGAGAUCAGGCCUUCCUUCGGGACCUAGUGACAGGUGCUGCAUGGCU
rnacentral:rRNA from 1 species